AGUGGCGGACGGGUGAGUAACGCGUGGGCAACCUGCCUCACACAGGGGGAUAACAGUUAGAAAUGACUGCUAAUACCGCAUAAGCGCACAGUACCGCAUGGUAUAGUGUGAAAAACUCCGGUGGUAUGAGAUGGACCCGCGUCUGAUUAGGUAGUUGGUGGGGUAACGGCCUACCAAGCCGACGAUCAGUAGCCGACCUGAGAGGGUGACCGGCCACAUUGGGACUGAGAUACGGCCCAGACUCCUACGGGAGGCAGCAGUCGGGAAUAUUGCGCAAUGGAGGAAACUCUGACGCAGUGACGCCGCGUAUGGGAAGAAGGUUUUCGGAUUGUAAACCAUUUUAGACAAGGAAGAAACAAGACAGUACUUGUAGAAUAAGCUCCGGCUAACUACGUGCCAGCAGCCGCGGUAAUACGUAGGGAGCAAGCGUUAUCCGGAUUUAUUGGGUGUAAAGGGUGCGUAGACGGGAAGGUAAGUUAGUUGUGAAAACCCGGGGCUCAACCCCGGGACUGCAUUGGAAACUGUUCAUCUAGAGUGCUGGAGAGGUAAGUGGAAUUCCUAGUGUAGCGGUGAAAUGCGUAGAUAUUAGGAGGAACACCAGUGGCGA
rnacentral:rRNA from 1 species